rnacentral:rRNA from 1 species
CGUAACAAGGUCUCCGUAGGUGAACCUGCGGAGGGAUCAUUACAAGUGACCCCGGUCUAACCACCGGGAUGUUCAUAACCCUUUGUUGUCCGACUCUGUUGCCUCCGGGGCGACCCUGCCUUCGGGCGGGGGCUCCGGGUGGACACUUCAAACUCUUGCGUAACUUUGCAGUCUGAGUAAACUUAAUUAAUAAAUUAAAACUUUUAACAACGGAUCUCUUGGUUCUGGCAUCGAUGAAGAACGCAGCGAAAUGCGAUAAGUAAUGUGAAUUGCAGAAUUCAGUGAAUCAUCGAAUCUUUGAACGCACAUUGCGCCCCCUGGUAUUCCGGGGGGCAUGUCUGUUCGAGCGUCAUUUCACCACUCAAGCCUCGCUUGGUAUUGGGCAACGCGGUCCGCCGCGUGCCUCAAAUCGACCGGCUGGGUCUUCUGUCCCCUAAGCGUUGUGGAAACUAUUCGCUAAAGGGUGUUCGGGAGGCUACGCCGUAAAACAACCCCAUUUCUAAGGUUGACCUCGGAUCAGGUAGGGAUACCCGCUGAACUUAAGCAUAUCA